AGCGAACGCUGGCGGCAGGCUUAACACAUGCAAGUCGAGCGGGCGUAGCAAUACGUCAGCGGCAGACGGGUGAGUAACACGUGGGAACGUACCUUUGGUUCGGAACAACACAGGGAAACUUGUGCUAAUACCGGAUAAGCCCUUACGGGGAAGAUUAUCGCCAAAAGAUCGGCCCGCGUCUGAUUAGCUUGUUGGUGAGGUAACGGCCCACCAAGGCGACGAUCAGUAGCUGGUCNGAGAGGAUGAUCAGCCACACUGGGACUGAGACACGGCCCAGACUCCUAC
rnacentral:rRNA from 1 species